rnacentral:lncRNA from 1 species
AAUCUAUGAAAUAAAAUGAAACAGACCUAUAAAAAUCCAAUUGCACGUGUUGGUUUAAUCUAUUCAUAUCUUUAUUUAUGUUUACAUCGCUUAUAUGGUAAUCUGAGGUCAAAUCGAUAGUUAAUUAGAUGGCGUCUGGACUAAAAUACACACGAAACGAACCUAUAUAUUAUCUACCCCAUGCUCUGUAAACUGUUUAUUUUAGACUUUUGAUAGUUUGGAUAAAUGUUUUACAUUGUUAUAAAUCAAAUAUGAGAAUUUGAGUCAAAUCGGUGACCAUGAAUUUGACAGCUAGUGUCCCUUUAAGAG